rnacentral:miRNA from 1 species
UUGGUAGUUUUGCAUGUAGA